UACGGAGGGUGCAAGCGUUAAUCGGAAUUACUGGGCGUAAAGCGUGCGCAGGCGGUUUGUUAAGUCCGUUGUGAAAGCCCCGAGCUCAACUUGGGAAUUGCAGUGGAUACUGGCAGGCUGGAGUACGGCAGAGGGAGGUAGAAUUCCACGUGUAGCGGUGAAAUGCGUAGAUAUGUGGAGGAAUACCGAUGGCGAAGGCAGCCUCCUGGGCCAACACUGACGCUCAUGCACGAAAGCGUGGGGAGCAAACAGG
rnacentral:rRNA from 1 species